CCGGUUCUGGUGAGGCAGAAACUUGAGAGGAGCCGUCCUCUCCCUGAAGCCUCGUGGUGGAACAGCUGUCUGACCCGUUCAAAGGGAAGGAUGAAAUCUCUUCACACGCACGCGAUGUGAAUGGAAGAGGCCUGUCACUAUGCGAACAGUACGGCACUCUGAACACAGACUAAAGACAGCUCUCAUCUCAAAGAACCCAGCGCUUGUGUCACAGUAUGAGAAGUUAGAUGCUGGGGAAAAGCAUCUGAUGGACGAAGCCUUCCGGCCAAACAGUGAUUCUUUGGACCCAUUACUUUGCAUUCGCAGUCAGACUGGAUAACCUCCCAUCCUGAGGCUCCCCAAGACUUUGAAGAGUUUUUCAAUGAUCCUUACAGAAAGACACCUUCUCCACAGAAGCAUAGUAUUUAUAUACAGUGCAUUGGAUUGCUAGGAAACACCAGAAGUAUCAGUGAAGAAUAUGUGAAAUGGCUCAAGGGCUACUGUGAAGCAUUUUUCUAUGGCUUGACGGUAAAACUCCUAGAACCAGUUCCUGUCUCUGCAACGAGAUGUUCCUUUAGAAUCAGUGAUAACACACAGAACCUACGGAUUCAUGCAGGGCAGAUCCUGAAGUUCUUAAAAAAGAAGAAACCUGAAGAUGCUUUUUGUGUUGUGGGAAUAACAAUGAUCGAUCUUUACCCAAGAGACUCCUGGAAUUUUGUCUUUGGACAGGCAUCCUUGACAGAUGGUGUGGAGAUAUUCAGCUUUGCCAGGUGCGGCAGUGAUUUUUACAGCUCACACUACAAAGGCAAACUGAAGAAGCUGCAGAAGAAAUCUUCAAGUGACUACUCAGUGUUUGAUAAUUAUUACGUUCCUGAAGUGACUCGUGUUUUGCUGCUUUGGUCCUGUAAGACUUUAACCCAUGAGAUUGGACAUAUCUAUGGACUUCGGCACUGCCAGUGGCUCGCAUGCCUGACGCAAGGCUCCAACCACUUGGAAGAAGCUUACCAGCGUCCCCUCGACCUUUGCCCCAUCUGUUUACGCAGAGUGCUAUCGGCUUCCACCUUAAAGACAGAUACAAAGGGACACGGGUUCCAGCCCUGGCCCGGGAAGAUCCCACAUGCCGCGGAGCAACUAAGCCCGUGCGCCACAACUACUGAGCCUGCACUCUAGAGCCCAUGAGCCACAACUACUGAGCCCAUGAGCCACAACUACUGAAGCCCGCGCACCUAGAGCCUGAGCUCCGCAACAAGAGAAGCCACCGCAAUGAGAAACCCAUCCACAAUGAAGAGUAACCCCUGCUUGCAGCAACUAGAGAAAGCCCACGGGCAGCAAUGAAGACCCAACGCAGCCAAAAAUAAAUUAAAUAAAUAAAUAAUAAAUUUACUUAAAAAAAAAGACAUGCACCAUAAUAUUCAUUGCAGCACUAUUUACAAUAGCCAGACAUGGAAGCAACCUAAGUGUCCAUCAACAGAUGAAUGGAUAAAGAAGAUGUGGCACAUAUAUACAAUGGAAUAUUACUCGGCCAUAAAAGGAAAUGAAAUUGAGUUAUUUGCAGUGAGGUGGAUGGACCUUGAGUCUCUCAUACAGAGUGAAGUAAGUCAGAAAGAGAAAAACAAAUACCAUAUGCUAAUACAUAUAUAUGGAACCUAAAAAAAACUGGUUCUGAAGAACCUAUGGGCAGGACAGGAAUAAAGACACAGAUGUAGAGAAUAGGCUUGAGGACACGGGAAGGGAGAAGGGUAAGCUGGGACGAAGUGAGAGAGUAGCACUGACAUAU